CUUGUUUAUCCUUCUCACAGGCACUGUUUGUAUCUAAGCUUUGCAUAAGCCCAAAUUCAAAAGGAGAGUCAAGGGCACCAUCAACUGUGUAAUGACAGCAGCAGCACUGGAGAUGGAGUAGAGAGAGGAGAACCAAGCUGGAAGAAAACAAGGAGGGUCCUUGCUUCAAAUAAUGGGCAG